rfam:Bacteroidales bacterium WCE2004 genome assembly, contig: Ga0070256_11
ACAAAGAAGAGUUUGAUCCUGGCUCAGGAUGAACGCUAGCGGCAGGCUUAACACAUGCAAGUCGAGGGGCAGCGGAGAGUAGCAAUACUCUGCCGGCGACCGGCGAAAGGGUGCGUAACGCGUGAGCAACUUGCCCGUAUCCGGGACAUAAGCGGUGGAAACGCCGUCUAAUUUCCCAUAACAACAGAGGCCGCAUGACCUUUGUUUGAAAGAUCCGUCGGAUACGGAUGGGCUCGCGAGACAUUAGCUAGUCGGCGUGGUAACGGCACACCGAGGCGACGAUGUCUAGGGGUUCUGAGAGGAAGGUCCCCCACACUGGAACUGAGACACGGUCCAGACUCCUACGGGAGGCAGCAGUGAGGAAUAUUGGUCAAUGGGCGCAAGCCUGAACCAGCCAUGCCGCGUGAAGGAAUAAGGCCCUAUGGGUCGUAAACUUCUUUUGUGGUGGAGCAAUAAGGUGCACGUGUGCAUCGAUGAGAGUACAUCACGAAUAAGCAUCGGCUAACUCCGUGCCAGCAGCCGCGGUAAUACGGAGGAUGCAAGCGUUAUCCGGAUUUAUUGGGUUUAAAGGGUGCGUAGGCUGUUCGACAAGUCAGGGGUGAAAGCCCAGUGCCUAACACUGGAACUGCCUUUGAUACUGCCGAGCUGGAAUACGGAUGCCGUGGGAGGAAUGAGUAGUGUAGCGGUGAAAUGCAUAGAUAUUACUCAGAACACCGAUUGCGAAGGCAUCUCACGAAUCCGUCAUUGACGCUGAGGCACGAAAGCGUGGGGAUCAAACAGGAUUAGAUACCCUGGUAGUCCACGCAGUAAACGAUGAUAACUAACCGUCGGCGAUACACAGUCGGUGGCCAAGCGAAAGCGAUAAGUUAUCCACCUGGGGAGUACGUUCGCAAGAAUGAAACUCAAAGGAAUUGACGGGGGCCCGCACAAGCGGAGGAACAUGUGGUUUAAUUCGAUGAUACGCGAGGAACCUUACCCGGGCUCGAACGGCAAGUGAAGGAUCAAGAGAUUGUGACGCCCUUCGGGGCACUUGUCGAGGUGCUGCAUGGUUGUCGUCAGCUCGUGUCGUGAGAUGUUGGCUUAAGUGCCAUAACGAGCGCAACCCUUGUCGCCAGUUACCAGCAAGUCAUGUUGGGGACUCUGGCGAGACUGCCACCGCA